rnacentral:ncRNA from 2 species
GGUAAGGUGGCCGCCGAUGGUUCCGGCCCCAGGGUCGGAUGAAAAGGGAACAGGGUGCGGCGCCGCGUCGCCAAUGCCCUGGCUGCCCCCGCAACUGUAAGCGGCGAACGACGCCCAUAUGCCACUGGCCCACAGGCCGGGAAGGCGGGCGAAGUGUCGAGCCGCGAGCCAGGAGACCUGCCAUCGCCGUCGGGCGCUU